UCGGAGACAAAGGAUCCUCUGAGAGUUCAGCCGCAUCUCAAGAAAUGUUUCGAUGGUAUCCAUUCGCUGCAGUUCGAUCAGAGUAUGGAGAUCAUGGCUAUGAUAUCGAUAGAAGGUGAAAUUGUGCCCCUAACAAAAAGGAUCAAUCCAGCUUCGGCUAAUGGCCUAGUUGAGAAAUGGCUCAAGG
rnacentral:lncRNA from 1 species